rnacentral:rRNA from 1 species
GAUGAACGCUAGCUACAGGCUUAACACAUGCAAGUCGAGGGGAAACGAUACUGGAAGCUUGCUUCCGAUAGGCGUCGACCGGCGCACGGGUGAGUAACGCGUAUCCAACCUGCCCAUCACUUGGGGAUAACCUUGCGAAAGUAAGACUAAUACCCAAUGACGUCGCUAGAAGACAUCUGAAAGAGAUUAAAGAUUUAUCGGUGAUGGAUGGGGAUGCGUCUGAUUAGCUUGUUGGCGGGGUAACGGCCCACCAAAACGACGCUCAGUAGGGGUUCUGAGAGGAAGGUCCCCCACAUUGGAACUGAAACACGGUCCAAACUCCUACGGGAGGCAGCAGUGAGGAAUAUUGGUCAAUGGGCGAGAGCCUGAACCAGCCAAGUAGCGUGCAGGAUGACGGCCCUAUGGGUUGUAAACUGCUUUUAUAAGGGAAUAAAGUGGGAGUCGUGACUCCUUUAGCAUGUACCUUAUGAAUAAGGACCGGCUAAUUCCGUGCCAGCCGCCGCGGUAA